UUGGCCCGUAGGGCGAGUCUCAGGAUGAGACGAGUUUCCCUGCUGCAGGUUCGGGUCGAACGCAGUGAGACAACGGAGCCGCUUGCGGCGACGGCCCGAAGGGCGAGGCGAAGCCGAGUCAUCCUGCACGACCCACCA
rfam:Enterobacter aerogenes KCTC 2190, complete genome.